GUACUGCUGUACCGAGGGCCUCCAGUAAGUACUGUACUGCUGUACCGAGGGCCUCCAGUAAGUACUGUACUGCUGUACUGAGGGCCUCCAGUAAGUACCGUACUGCUGUACUGAGGGCCUCCAGUAAGUACCGUACUGCUGUACUGAGGGCCUCCAGUAAGUACUGUACUGCUGUACCGAGGGCCUCCAGUAAGUACCGUACUGCUGUACUGAGGGCCUCCAGUAAGUACCGUACUGCUGUACUGAGGGCCUCCAGUAAGAACAAAAGUUCAAUCCACAAAACGUUUUACAAAGAAAACCAACUGUUUUUAAACGGUUUUAAAUAUCCAGGAUACAACAUAGUCACUCUGUAAAGACAAAUGAUUGAGAAUCUACCAUCUGUUUUCAAGUGAUUUCCCGUAGCAGACAUGUUUACAGUGAGGAGAGACGACUGAAGCGCUAAGCAGAAGGCGAUAGAUCUAGCAGUCCCUGUAAGCUAAUCAGUAGUUAAGGUGAUGAGUGUGUAUUAAAAAUCACUUUUCUACAGUUUUAAACAUGUUUCACCCCAGGUAAUGGUUUUGUACAGUUGCUUUGAAAAGGAUAUGGGGCUUAAUGAACUAUUCUGUUGUCCACAGAUUGGACCAGUUUUACUGUCUACAACACUGUCAGGUAACGAGAAAGACACGGACACUGUUCAUCUAUCAUUACAACAUUUUGUAAGGUUUCCAAAAAGACCAGAAGGACAUCAACCAAAAAACUAAAACAUUCAUGUCGAAUAAAUCUAAUAAUGAUGGAACCAACUAUUUAUUUGUCUGCAUUGUGAGUGGUGAGACUGUCUGCUACUUUAGAACAAGCUACAAACCUGCACUAAAAGCCACAGGUGGUUUCAUUAAAGAGACUGGGGCAGCAUUAAGCAGAUGAUGAAAUAACUGGGCUUGAACCACCAGCAUUGGUGAUGAGGAAGUCACUUGUUGGUCAAACCCAGCAGCACAGCGUACAGUACUACUGCCAUGUGUUGGAGAUAGAGAGUCCCCUGACCUCUCCUCUUCUGCCUCCACUAGCCCUGGCUUCUACCUCAACCCAGCAGCACAGCGUACAGUACUACUGCCAUGUGUUGGAGAUAGAGAUCCCCUGACCUCUCCUCUUCUGCCUCCACUAGCCCUGGCUUCUACCUCAACCCAGCAGCACAGUGUACAGUACUACUGCCAUGUGUUGGAGAUAGAGAGUCCCCUGACCUCUCCUCUUC
ensembl:lncRNA